CUAAAAUCAGCUUCCCCUGGGUACACAAGGACUGGUGCCUAGGUCAACAGCAGUCACAGAGAGUGAGUCAGGAUGAGAACCAAGCAACUGGAAGCCUAGAAUUGCUCUUCUCCAAGCCCAGAAGUGUAAGCAUUUUUUUCUCCUUUCUAGGCAUGGAUCCCUGAGACUUGGUUCCGGAUAGCAGGAGACACUUCAAUAUCAAGAGGAAACACAAUGCUUUGCGAAGAACAGAAAUGGGAAGAAUUGGUCACGUGGAAAGUCAGUUUUUCAGAAGCUGCCUUUUGAGGGUAGCACCUUUUCCCCAACAGCUAGGCCUUAUGGGAAAAGAAUGUAAAUGCUUCCUGCCUUGCUGAAACUCCAUCCGCGAGAUGGCAGUAAUGCGCCGAGUAUGUGCACAAGUGACGGUGUCUACUGCUCUACUCCCGCCCUUCUUGUCUGAAAAAAAGGUAACACAGGCAAUACAAAUAUGGCAGCCUUGUAUU
rnacentral:lncRNA from 1 species